AUUGAACGCUGGCGGCAGGCCUAACACAUGCAAGUCGAGCGGAAGAAGGGAGCUUGCUCCUGGAUUCAGCGGCGGACGGGUGAGUAAUGCCUAGGAAUCUGCCUGGUAGUGGGGGAUAACGUCCGGAAACGGGCGCUAAUACCGCAUACGUCCUGAGGGUGAAAGUGGGGGAUCUUCGGACCUCACGCUAUCAGAUGAGCCUAGGUCGGAUUAGCUAGUUGGUGGGGUAAAGGCCUACCAAGGCGACGAUCCGUAACUGGUCUGAGAGGAUGAUCAGUCACACUGGAACUGAGACACGGUCCAGACUCCUACGGGAGGCAGCAGUGGGGAAUAUUGGACAAUGGGCGAAAGCCUGAUCCAGCCAUGCCGCGUGUGUGAAGAAGGUCUUCGGAUUGUAAAGCACUUUAAGUUGGGAGGAAGGGCAGUAAGUUAAUACCUUGCUGUUUUGACGUUACCAACAGAAUAAGCACCGGCUAACUUCGUG
rnacentral:rRNA from 1 species